UAAAAUUUAGUUUAAAAAAAACAUCUAAUUGCAAGUUAGAAAACUUACUUUGUAAAAUUUUAU
rnacentral:tRNA from 1 species